ensembl:lncRNA
AUGGCGUGUAAAAGAAACCUGAGUUUUACUACUCCCGUGAGUAAUAGGGCUUUGCAACCAGCAGCAAGCCCACUGAGCAUAAAUGAUUUAACGAAACAGCUGAUCUCCGGUCAGAACGCUUUGUCUCGUCAGCUUGAGGGUUUGAUGGAGAAGCAAGCUGCAAACACUGUUCUUCUCGAAGAUGCUAUCCAGCGUCUUUGUGCUCUUGAGCGAAAGUUUGACGAGCAAAGACCGCAAGAGGAACAAAGACCGCGGGAAGAGCCAUUACAUAAAAGGAUAAAGAGGGCGCACAACGUGGGCAUUGCGGAAGCUGUAAGGCGCCUUCACAAUUCGGAAAACAACCCACAUAAAUAUGAUCCACAAACUGGAAUAAGUUCGCCUCGUAACCAAGCAGUCAUGACUUAUCUGCUAGAGGAAUUGAAAACAACUUUUGCAGAUGCAGACCCUGAGUGUAUACAAGCGUGUUGCAAGACAUACUUUGAAACACUUCGGAGAAAGUACAAUUUGUCUCAGCCAGAAAAGUCCCAGCUAAGAGAUGCCAUUAAAACAGGAGCUAAAAACCGACAAAGGAAAAGACGGUUGCUGGAUUCCAGGUCCAAGGUUGUUCAAACCGAUGCAGAGAGAGAGCUUUGGCAGACUGCAACAGUGGAGCUGAUGUCUGACGAGGAGGAUGCCAUUGUUGAUGGAAGGCCAGUGUGGAUUGUGAGGUCUCCAUCUCACAGGAACCCACAAUUGUCAGAACUUUGUGAGGAGCUUCAGCGCAGAUUGGAGGCAGACAUGCGCUACACUAUUUUGCAUCAUCAGCGUGUUAAGGCUGAUGGAAAUGGACAUGAUGGACCUUCCUUUCUUCAACUUUAACUAAACUGCACUGGUUUUGCAAUUUUAAUAAUUGCACCACAAACUGCACAUUUUCACUUAUUCUCUUCUAUUUUAUCUUAUUCUUUGUAUACUUAUUAGGUUAGAUUUAUUUAGUUUCAUAUUCUGCAACUUAUUUUCUUUUAAUAUUGUUUGUGUUUGCUGUGUUUGGUUACAUUUUAAAUACUUUGUGCUGUGUGUACAUAUUAAGUAGUUUAUUUAGUUUUAUAUUCUGUAACUGUUAUAAUAUUGCUUGUGUUUAGUAAAAUUUUAUAAAAGUACUUUGCUUUGUGUACAUAUUAUUUCGUUUUAUAUUUUGUAACUGUUAUAAUAUUGCUUGUGUUUGGUUAAAUUUUAUAAAAGUACUUUUUCCCCUGUACAGUUCCUAUAGUUUUAUUUAUAUAUUUAAUGCUUUAUUUAUAUAUUUAAUGCUUUAAGUGUUUUGGUUUAAUUUUAAUAAAAAGAAAUUCUGAAUCCA